rfam:Triticum aestivum genome assembly, contig: Triticum_aestivum_CS42_TGACv1_scaffold_020161_1AS
UUACUACUCCCUCCGUCUGGAAAUACUUGUCAUCAAAAUGGAUAAAAGGAGAUGUAUCUAGAUGUAUUUUAGUUCUAGAUACAUUCCUUUUUGUCCAUUUUGAUGACAUGUAUUUUCGGACGGAGGGAGUAGUUA